UCACAUCUUCUUUCUUUUCUUCAUUUCUUCUUUCUUGCUCUAAUUUAUCUCAGCCAAAUGGAUACUGAGUCAGACGAAAUCCAACACCCAUAUCAACCUAUGGAUAUUUCAUAAAAUCCAACAAAUCCAUACUAUCUCCAUCCAGGAGAGAAUCUAGGCUUCAUAUUAGUUUCACCACCAUUGAAUGGAAAGAACUACCAUUUGUGGUCAAGAUCCAUG
rnacentral:lncRNA from 1 species